GCGCCAACCCUUACAUGGUCCUUAAAAAAAAAACCUUCUGACACUGCAGUAGUGAAAAUGAAGCGCACGAUGGGCGGAAGCUAGGAAGACAAACAUAAAGAUGAAGUGCUUAAUUCAAGGUCACACAAUGUCGGGGAUGGACCUCCAGAUUUCCUUACUGACCUGCAUUAUCUUGUGGAUACCUGAGUGAAUUCCACACCACCCAUUUUAUAGAUGAAACCACUGAGACAUGGAGCAACUGACUGAGUAGUCACUGCCCCACCCCUGCCUGGAGCCUCACACAUGACUCGUCUCCUCUCAGUGACCACAGGUUGGUUGAGGGGUUUAACAAGGCUAAGAAGUACUUAUCCUGUAUUACAUGAAGGAAAUGAAAUAAAAAGACUGCAACCCCACUCCCAGCUACUCAGUGAGGUGGUAGCUAGGUAAGAAAACAACCCUUUCCUUUUAGAUGAAAUUG
rnacentral:lncRNA from 1 species